rnacentral:rRNA from 1 species
GACGAACGCUGGCGGCGUGCUUAACACAUGCAAGUCGAACGGUGAAGGGGCCUGCUUUUGUGGGCCCUGGAUGAGUGGCGAACGGGUGGGUAACACGUGAGUAACCUGCCCCCUUCUUCUGGAUAACCGCAUGAAAGUGUGGCUAAUACGGGAUAUUCUGGGUCUGUCGCAUGAUGGGUCUGGGAAAGAUUGCGCCUUUGGGUGUUUUUGGUGGGGGAUGGGCUCGCGGCCUAUCAGCUUGUUGGUGGGGUGAUGGCCUACCAAGGCGGUGACGGGUAGCCGGCCUGAGAGGGUGGACGGUCACACUGGGACUGAGACACGGCCCAGACUCCUACGGGAGGCAGCAGUGGGGAAUAUUGCACAAUGGGCGCAAGCCUGAUGCAGCGACGCCGCGUGAGGGAUGGAGGCCUUCGGGUUGUAAACCUCUUUCGCCAGUGAAGCAGGCCUGCUCCUUGUGGGUGGGUUGACGGUAGCUGGAUAAGAAGCGCCGGCUAACUACGUG